rnacentral:rRNA from 1 species
UACGUAGGGCGCAAGCGUUGUCCGGAAUCAUUGGGCGUAAAGAGCUCGUAGGCGGCCUGUUGCGUCCGCUGUGAAAUCCCGGGGCUUAACCCCGGGCGUGCAGUGGAUACGGGCUGGCUGGAGGCAGGCAGGGGAGAACGGAAUUCCCGGUGUAGCGGUGAAAUGCGCAGAUAUCGGGAGGAACACCGGUGGCGAAGGCGGUUCUCUGGGCCUGUGCUGACGCUGAGGAGCGAAAGCGUGGGGAGCGAACAGG